AUUUUUACUUGUUACAGGCCUAGAAGAAGAAACAAUAAAGAACAAUCAAUCCAAAAUCCACAGAAAAGCGGAAGUGAAUGCAUGAAUCACCAACCCUGCACUAUGCAUGUCAAAAAGUGUACUAUUUAAAAGAAGACGCAGAUUUGGCUGUAUUAAAAGACUUUGAGGAAUCAGUUUUUUUUCACAUCUUGCAUUUUUUUCCAAUCAACGGAAAGACUGAAGCAAAAUGGAAGAAGAGCAAACAAACCUCAUCAUUAAUUAUCUCCCCCAGUCAUUGCAAGAUGACGAGUUUAGAACAAUGUUUGAAAGCAUUGGACCACUCAAAUCUAGUAAAGUUGUGAGAGAUAAAAACACAGGUUAUAGUUAUGGCUUUGGUUUUGUUGACUACCUUAAUCCAAAAGAUGCAGCAACGGCUAUCAGUCAGUUGAAUGGAUAUCGAAUUGAACACAAAGUUCUUAAAGUAGCUUAUUCUCGCAAAAGUGAUGAAGAAAUAAAAGGAUCCAAGCUCUACCUUCAAAAGCUGCCUCCACAGUACACUGAAGAAGAAAUUGCCAAUUAUUUUCAAUCAUACGGCAAUGCGGUGCAAGUUCGUGUUGUUACGGAUAAAGCAACUGGCCAAUCCAAAGGAAUAGGUUUCAUUCUGUUCUCAAAAAGGGCAGAGGCCGAAGCUGCCUUGGCAGAUCUAGACAACAAGAUCCCUCCUGGAGGAACUCAGCCAAUGAGAAUUAAGUUUGCUGAUGACAAUGCCAAAAAAGUGAAAGCUCCUUCUCAGUACAACUACUACACCCAGCCUCCCUAUCCAGUACAUGGAGGUUAUGGUGAGGGUAUGGGUGGGUCCCGCGGUCCAAUGAGAAAUCCAGGAGGUCGCUUCAGGUUUAAUCCCAUGGGAAACAGUGGUGCCUAUGGAGGGGGAUACGGAGGAGGAAGCAGUAGUUACGGAGCAGAUUACUACAGUCCACCUUCCCAGGGAGGGGGGUACGUCUUGUUUGUUUACAAUAUUGGUCCAGAGGCUGACGAGAAAAUGCUCUGGCGCAUGUUUUCCCCUCUAGGAACUGUGACCAAAGUUAAUGUUAUUAUGGACCAUCAGAAAAAUCAAUCAAAGGGCUAUGGAUUUGUUACUAUGCCAAAUUAUGAAGAGGCUGAAUACGCUAUUCUAAACAUGAACGGUUAUUGUCACAACGGAAGGGAAUUGUCUGUAUCAUUUAAAAGUUAGAUUUAUAAAAACAAAGAGCAUUUCCUUCACACAGAUGUAAUUACAAAAUUAACAUUAUUUUCAUAUAUAAUCACAACUCAUUUUAUUGAAUUCAACUUGAAAAUUUGAUUUUGCAUAUCAGUGGAUUAGAGGUAGUGGUAUCAUCAUUUGUCUUAAGUGCCUUCUGUCUACAGUUCCUCCAAAUGUUGUGAUUUAGAAAACACAUUUGUAGUUUUUAAAUCAAUGCAUUUCCUUUCUUUGUAGUUAUUGAUGUCCCAGUCCUCAGAAAGAAGGACAAUUUGAUGCUGAAUUCUUUCUGAUGACUGGGGACAACUUGAUUUUUUUUCUUUCACGACUGGAAUCCAUAAAAACAGCGAUUUUUGUGUACACUAGGGGGUUUGAUGUUAUAUGGGGUUCAUGCUAACAUUUUAGUGGUUUUGAAUGAUUAAAUAUGCCGUUGUUUCUAAAUUGUUAUGAAUAAAAAGGUAAUGUUUUCAUCAGAUAUUGAACUUUUUAUGUGUUUUUUAUUCCUGAUUUACACAAUGUUAAAUUUUCGUAUGUGCAGCAUUUUUGUCCCAAUCAGUAUUGUUUGUGCAUAAAUUACUAGUUUUUUUAGACAAAUUGCAAAUAAAUUAUUCAUUUGUGUGUACAAAGUCAAUAAGUGAAUGUUAAAAUCAAACUAGCUGUAGAACUAAUGGGUUGCUGAACUGGCAGGUUUUGGUACAUGUACCGGUAUGUAUUGGUUUUGUUAGACCAAAGAAUACUUUUUGCCAAAAAAUGAAGCAGGAAUUGUAUUUUUGAUAUUUCUCCUUUUUUUGAGAACUAGAAAGACAUAGCAUUUAUCUGUUUAAUAUAAAUAUGUUAAACUAUAACAGAAUUAAAAUUUUAAAAAAAAAUUAACUUUCACGUGAGUUAAAGUUAUUUACAACUUUACAUUGUAUAGUGAUAUAAAUCAUGUGUUUGAAUAAUUCAAUACGUGUAUAAUAUGGCUCCAAGUAAAAUUUUUCAUGUACAUAUUUGUACAUAAUUAAUUUUCCAUUUAAACAAAUUAUUUAUCCUUUUACUUAGCAAAUAAAAUUUUUUUAGUGAGCCUUAGCUUGGAUAGAUGGAAAUGCAGAUCAUGAAUGCUAUAGACAAGAUUGGUUGUUAGAAGUAAACCCUUGGCCCAUAUAUCAAUCAUUGUUGUGUAUUUUGUGUAUAAUAUCCAUGAUGAACCAUUUAAAUGUUCAAUUGUAUGUUUAAUGAAUAAAAUUGGACACUUGUUUACAGUUA